GCAGGUGGUUCAAUACCUUGCGGCUACUUUGGGGACAGAUUUAAAUGUUAACAAGGAUAUUGAAGAUGAAAUAUUAUUGAACGAGUUCAUUUAUAAUAGGUUCAGAGAUGGGAUGGUCAAGAAAGGCCUAUCCUUGAAGGUGACAUUUACUGCAACAUGGCAUAAUGUAGGGGUGGGAGGAGCCUCCUCUAACAGCAAGAGAAGAAGUACUCUGGCUGGGAUGCUAUGCAGCACUGCAGCUGUAAGGUGAUGUUCGGGCAGCCAGGGGGAGGGACGCUAACUUCACAGGAAGCACGGGGACGGGAAGAAGCCAGACCCCUGAUGACAAUGCCACCUUUGAAUGACUGGACCAGCAGCCACCCUACAGCUUCCAGUUACACAGGGUGAUACGUGUCCUCAAUGUUCAAGUCAAUUACAGACAGAAUCCUAACUCAUCUCCUUGAGACAGGGAAACUGAAGACUCAGUAAAAAUCUGCUUUUUGCUCCUUU